rnacentral:rRNA from 1 species
GAGACUCUGUGCGCGUGCAUAUCAAUAAGCGGAGGAAAAGAAACUAACAAGGAUUCCCCUAGUAACGGCGAGUGAAGCGGGAAGAGCUCAAAUUUGAAAUCUUCAAGGUUUCCCUUGACGAAUUGUAGUUUAUAGAAGUGUUUUCUGUUAGUAGAGUGGUAAAAGUUCUUUGGAAUAGGACAUCAUAGAGGGUGAGAAUCCCGUAUUUGGAUCAUCUUUCUACUACGUUGUGAUACACUUUCAAAGAGUCGGAUUGUUUGGGAAUGCAGUCCAAAAUGGGUGGUAAAUUUCAUCUAAAGCUAAAUAUUGGCGAGAGACCGAUAGCGAACAAGUACCGUGAGGGAAAGAUGAAAAGAACUUUGAAAAGAGAGUUAAACAGUACGUGAAAUUGUCAAAAGGGAAGCGUUUGACACCAGUGUUGUUUUUCCGAAAAUCAAUUAUGAAUGGCUUGAUUUUAAGUUUCAUGACCUUAAAAGCUUGUUUCUUAUUUUUCAUGUCUUUCGUAAUGCACUUUUCGGUUAACAGGUCAACAUCAAUUUCUUUUGUUGUAAAAGGUUAAGAGGAAGGUGGCUUUACUUUCGGGUAAAGUGUUUAUAGCCUUUUAACUCUGCAAUCGGAGAGAUUGAGGUCUGCAGCGUAGAUCCUUCGGGGUUAGAUACGUUUGUGCUAAGUUAUAGCUUUUCAUAGACAACUUGUUGACUAUGUUAAGUCUUGUAAUUUACUCGCAGAUGCUAUUUUACCUACGCUUAGGAUGUUGAAGAUGUAGCACAUCAU